rnacentral:lncRNA from 1 species
CAAAAGGCCCACUAGGUGGAGUGAAAUGGAUCAGGAGCAAUUAUGUUCAAUUUCACCUUUAAGUUUUCUCAAAAGGAGGAGGAUUAAGAAUCAGCCACCUUAGUACAUACUUAAAGGAGAAGAUAGUCAUUGGACAAAAGGUGGGUCAUUCUCACGUUGACCAAGUUUCUGUUCCAGUAUCACCCUCCCAAGAGCAAGUUGAGAAACAAAUGCAGGAAUCCAGCUGAUGAACAUCUAUCUAUAAUCCUAAAGGUUGGCCGGGCGUGGUGGCUCACGCCUGUGAUCCUAGCACUUUGGGAGGCCGAGGCGGGUGGAUCACCUGAGGUCCAGAGUUCGAGACCAGCCUGACCAACAUGGAGAAACCCCGCCUCUACUAAAAAUACAAAAUUAGCUGGGCGUGGUGGCGUAUGCCUGUAAUCCCAGCUGCUCCAGAGGCUGAGGCAGGAGAAUGGCUUGAGCCUGCGAGUUAGAGGUUGCGGUGAGCCGAGAUCGCGCCAUUGCACUCCACCCUGGGCAACAAGAGUAAGACUCCGUCUCAAAAAAAAAAAAAAAAAAAAAAAAAAAAAAAUCCUAAAGGUUGACUAAACUGCAUUAGAGAAGCAGCUCAACCUGUGGCUACAAGCCUACCACUUUUCCUUCAGAAUUAAACACUUCCAUCCCCAA